UACGGGAGGCAGCAGUGGGGAAUAUUGCACAAUGGGCGAAAGCCUGAUGCAGCUAUGCCGCGUGUAUGAAGAAGGCCUUAGGGUUGUAAAGUACUUUCAUCGGGGAGGAAAAAACAAAACUAAUAAUUUUAUUUCUUGACGUUACCCGAAAAAGAAGCACCGGCUAACUCCGUGCCAGCAGCCGCGGUAAUACGGAGGGUGCUAGCGUUAAUCAGAAUUACUGGGCGUAAAGAGCACGUAGGUGGUUUUUUUAAGUCAGAUGUGAAAUCCCUGGGCUUAACCUAGGAACUGCAUUUUGAAACUGAAAUACUAGAGUAUCGUAGAGGGAGGUAGAAUUCUAGGUGUAGCGGUGAAAUGCGUAGAUAUCUGGAGGAAUACCUGUGGCGAAAGCGGCCUCCUAAACGAAUACUGACACUGAGGUGCGAAAGCGUGGGGAGCAAACGAGGGAUUAGGAUACCCGU
rnacentral:rRNA from 1 species